GUUGACCCGAGGGAAGGUGUUAGGCAUCCCCGGAUCCCGUGGUUCUAGGUGAUUAUUGACACACCCCGACUACGUUGAGAUUUGGAUUUGGGUCACAUAAAUGUACACCCGAGUUUAAGGAGGUAAUGUUAUCAAACACGCUCCUAAAUAGUCUAACGCGUUAUUAUUUUUGGGGAAGGCCGUGAAAUUUGCUAAAUCAACCCAUCCCGAAGUCUAAAUAUUUUUAAUAUAUACAUUUAACGAGGGCCCCGCAAUUUGUGCAUUAUUAUUUGGCGAGGCACGCCUCAUUUAUUUUAAAGGGUAAUCCUAG
rnacentral:lncRNA from 1 species